rnacentral:lncRNA from 1 species
CAACUCAUGAUGUUCACAUAGUAGUCAUCCAUAAGCCCCGGUGCAUCGAAAACUAUCAUUUCUGCCUGCACCACACACCGGAUCGAACAACGAAUGGAAUAAGCUCAGUCCUAUCAUUUCCUAUGUCAUCGAUACUCAAAGGUUCGUUUCAAAUACAGAUGUGUUCCAUACGGGUGCCUUUUUUCCCCAUUAAUUGGUGGAUCAAACUUCAUAUACAUAUUUGCACACACGAGUUCUAAAGAGCCUAAGCAACAUAGAUCAUUUCAUGAAAGGAUCAUCUUUUCAAGAAAACCAACCAAAUCAUCAACUUUUAUAAAUCCCAACAUUGGAGCUUACUCCAUUCUACUAUAGGGAAACAAACAAAAUGAUAAAAAUGUCACAGUUGAUAAUUUUGGAGUCAAAUUUUUUGAACUUUCACUAUUUUUUGUAAAAACUUAUUUAAAAACUACUCCAUUGAAAGUCUUUAUAAUAUGUUUUUUCAAUUUUUUUUAUCUAUAAUAAAUUUUAAAGAAUAAGAUGUCAAAAGUUGAAAAUUUUGAACCACUAAAAGUUAAAAUGUGACGAGUUUACUGAGAGAGAGAGAGAGAGUUACUCCUAAAGUUAAAAGAUAGCCCGUAGAUCGAAGAAAAUAUGAACUUGAUUGUUUAAGUUUUUCUAGGUAUUCAGGAUGAUACUCCUUAUACGUGUCAGACGUGCUACACAUAGAAGCUCUAGGAAAAAUGAAGAGUUCGGGAAAAAAAUAAGGGAUUUUGUGCUACAUAUAGAAGCUCUAGGAAAAACCUUGGGGAUGGACCGAUAUGCAGCCUGUUUGCUCUUGUUAUCCGAUAUGGCAGCCAUUUGUUGUCUCAACUCAUCAACGAAACGAAUGGAUUUUGUGCUUGAUUUUGAGCUUCCUCUGAAAACCAUAAUCCUUUUCCCUUCAGAAUUUAAAGACUGACUCUCAAUCAGUUUCUGUUGAUACACUUCCUGCCAUCAAUGAAGAGAAAACUAAAAAAAACCAUAAGUUUUCAUCUCCAGAUUUUUGCCAUUUCUAAAUCAAUAAAUUUCAUUUUCAG